rnacentral:lncRNA from 1 species
CAGCUUUGGCAAGGGUGUAUAAUAUGUUUCAUAUCUCGAUGCUGAGGAAGUAUGUGCCAAAUCCUAGUCACAUGAUAAGAUUCGAACUUAUAGCUUGAUGAUGAUCUCUCUUAUGAGGAGCAGUCUGUCAAAAUUAUAGAUAGAAAAAAAAAUCAAGUUUUGAAAUGGUAUAUCAUAUCUCAUGUGAAAGUCCUAUGGAGAACCACAGC